CUGUUUGCCGAUGGAGCAUCAUCAAGAUUCACAAAACUUUUUUUAGGGCUAUAAAAUUAAUGAUGAACAUGGUGAAAAUAUCAUCAUAAGCUUUGAUCAAUAUAUAUAUGAAAUCAGCCCUUUAAAAUAUGAUUUUGAGAAUCUUGAUGAUGCUGCAGCGGCAAUAAA
rfam:Corchorus olitorius cultivar O-4 contig15590, whole genome shotgun sequence.